rnacentral:rRNA from 1 species
UACGUAGGGUGCAAGCGUUAUCCGGAAUUAUUGGGCGUAAAGAGCUCGUAGGCGGUUUGUCGCGUCUGCUGUGAAAACUGGAGGCUCGACCUCCAGCCUGCAGUGGGUACGGGCAAACUAGAGUGCGGUAGGGGAGAUUGGAAUUCCUGGUGUAGCGGUGGAAUGCGCAGAUAUCAGGAGGAACACCGAUGGCGAAGGCAGAUCUCUGGGCCGUAACUGACGCUGAGGAGCGAAAGCAUGGGGAGCGAACAGG